GUAAUGCUCUCAAGCAGCGAUCUGGAGCGAGGCUGAGCGAGCGAGCCAGUGAGUGAAUGAAUGGACGUCUGGGUUGAGCGAGAACCCGCGAACAAAGACAACGAACCAAAGCGAUGAUUCGAAUUUUUAAAACACGAUCUCUGUAUCCAAAUACAGGACUUGGAGACUUAGCCCGGGUGUGGAGGCUGCAUAACCACCCAUCUCGUCACCUGCCCCACCCCCCACCCCAGCUCAGAGGACCUUUUGUCUAAAUGCUUGAGCUACGGGUGGGGUGGGUAGGGGGACUGGUGGGGAGUGGACGCGAGGGUCCCGUGGUGUGCCCUCUGGCCCCAGGUGGCAAGCUUGGAUGUCAGAGAGACAAAAGCGAUUUCUUCUUGCUCCAGCAGGGCCAGAAGUUCAGGCUGCCCAGCCCCCACUGCGGGGGGGAAUCACGUGUGAGUUACCUGAGGUUUCUUGGCUCAUUUUCCAAGCCUCUGUGGAGCCAGGGAGUGGAGUGUAAGGUGGUACCUAGGUUCUGGUGGGAUCCAGUAGUUCCAGAGCCUCCGCUAGUCUGGUGCGGGCUUUGCUGAAGCCUGGGUAUACCCUGAAUGGUGGGUGCAGAGACUCAGCCACUCAUACCUGUCUAUUGGGUGGUCUCCCUGCUUCCGUGCCUUGCCCCAGCCUGUCUACAGCGCUGUUGGUUAUUUAAAUGACCCAGCGUUGUUAAACAUUUCCAAACUCUUACCCGUCCACUAACUACUGGAAUGGUGCAGUAAAGGAAACUGCUUAGU
rnacentral:lncRNA from 1 species